rnacentral:lncRNA from 1 species
UUGGAUCCUAUGAUUCUUUGUUCUCUUUCUGCAGAUAAUACUUGAAUGCAUCUUGGAAAUCUUUCUCUACAUGCAAUAGCCAGGUAUUUUUCUUUUCUGAUGUGAGCUCAUCAUUCCAUAGUUCAUUGAUAACGGCAAUUCUGAAAAUUUAGCUCUGGGAACGUCUCUCAAAAGCAACAAUCUUAUAGUGUGGUACGGUCUCACAUACACUGGUGGAGGGGCAAAAGAAGACGUGAGAUGCAGUGCACUGAGAAGCAAGGAAUCAAGGUAAGGCGCUGUUUGUGAACUUCUGCUAAGCUUUUUAGACAAUAAUAAAUAUUUAUGUCCAGGACAAGAUCUCAAGUUAACCCUCGCAUAGCAGAUGAGGUGGAAAAACAGACGCAAGAUGGGGAAUCCGUCAUGUGAAGGGAUGGGAAGUCAUUGAUUGCAGAUCGGAAAAAUGUUAAAUGGGCAUCGCCAAAUAAAAAAUGUUUUGCAAGUUCCUUGAGAAGAGAUAAACAUCCGGGACCUUGCUGAAUACGGCACACGGACGCCUUUCCCGAUUAUAAUUUAUAUGAAUUGAAGGGGUUCCCGAGCCAUGUAAGUAUUGAUACGUAUAUAGAGGGACUGGCAGCAAGGAUACGGGAGCUCAGUACAACUUCCUUAACUUUGAGGCUGCGAUGCAUUUGAGCAGCUGGACAAAAAUCAACGCAUAGCUCCACCUUAUCAGGUCGAAGAACAGACAACAGAAUCUCUCAUGUGAAGUCAUUGAUUGCAGAUCGGAAAAUAAAAGAAAAUCUGUUCGUACGUUAAUCGCUUUGAAGUUUGCUUUGAUCAGUUG